rnacentral:rRNA from 1 species
UACAGAGGUCUCAAGCGUUGUUCGGAUUCAUUGGGCGUAAAGGGUGCGUAGGCGGCGCGGUAAGUCGGGUGUGAAAUCUCGGAGCUUAACUCCGAAACUGCAUUCGAUACUGCCGUGCUUGAGGACUGGAGAGGAGACUGGAAUUUAUGGUGUAGCGGUGAAAUGCGUAGAUAUCGUAAGGAAAACCAGUGGCGAAGGCGGGUCUCUGGACAGUUCCUGACGCUGAGGCACGAAGGUCAGGGGAGCAAACGGG